GAUGAACGCUGGCGGCGUGCCUAAUACAUGCAAGUCGAACGCUGAAGGAGGAGCUUGCUCUUUCCGGAUGAGUUGCGAACGGGUGAGUAACGCGUAGGUAACCUGCCUGGUAGCGGGGGAUAACUAUUGGAAACGAUAGCUAAUACCGCAUAACAGUAGAUAUUGCAUGAUAUUUGCUUGAAAGGGGCAAUUGCUCCACUACCAGAUGGACCUGCGUUGUAUUAGCUAGUUGGUGAGGUAACGGCUCACCAAGGCGACGAUACAUAGCCGACCUGAGAGGGUGAUCGGCCACACUGGGACUGAGACACGGCCCAGACUCCUACGGGAGGCAGCAGUAGGGAAUCUUCGGCAAUGGACGGAAGGCUGACCGAGCAACGCCGCGGGAGGGAAGAAGGGUUUCGGAUCGUAAAGCUCUGUUGUAAGGGAAGAACGAGUGUGAGAGUGGAAAGUUCACACUGUGACGGUAGCUUACCAGAAAGGGACGGCUAACUACGUG
rnacentral:rRNA from 1 species